UACGUAGGGCGCAAGCGUUAUCCGGAAUUAUUGGGCGUAAAGAGCUCGUAGGCGGUUUGUCGCGUCGGCUGUGAAAACUCGGGGGCUCAACCCCCGAGCCUGCAGUCGAUACGGGCAGACUAGAGUGCGGUAGGGGAGACUGGAAUUCCUGGUGCAGCGGUGAAAUGCGCAGAUAUCAGGAGGAACACCGGUGGCGAAGGCGGGCUCUGGGCCGAUACUGACGCUGAGGAGCGAAAGCGUGGGGAGCGAACAGG
rnacentral:rRNA from 1 species